rnacentral:rRNA from 1 species
UACCACGCGAGUGGAUGCCAAUCCCUAAAACCCCUCCUCAGUUCGGACUGGAGUCUGCAACCCGACUCCACGAAGCUGGAUUCGCUAGUAAUCGCGCAUCAGCCACGGCGCGGUGAAUACGUUCCCGGGCCUUGUACACACCGCCCGUCAAGCCAUGGGAGCCGGGGGUACCUGAAGUGCGUAACCGCGAGGAUCGCCCUAGGGUAAAACUGGUGACUGGGGCUAAGUCGUAACAAGGUAAC